rnacentral:piRNA from 1 species
UCCUCCAGGAAAUUCCCAGGACUCACUGC